GUAGGUGAACCUGCGGAAGGAUCAUUAACUAGUAUUGAAGUCCACGGGGAUCAGGCUUUCCGAAAGGAGGGUGGGGGGAUGUUUGGUUCCCCCUGCUUGGGCAGACUGGAGAGCAUGGUGUAACCACAUUUUGUGGCGUAAUUAUGUUUGGCCUCUGCUGAUCGAGCUUGUCACCUGAAUUCUACUACCCUUGCUUUUUGCGCACCCAUUGUUUCCUCGGCAGGCUUGCCUGCCAGUAGGACCCUUUAAA
rnacentral:misc_RNA from 1 species